rnacentral:rRNA from 1 species
GACGAACGCUGGCGGCAUGCUUAACACAUGCAAGUCGAACGGACUGAUUCCUUCGGGAUGAAGUUAGUGGCGAACGGGUGAGUAAUGUAUGAGCAACCUGCCUCUGUCAACGGGAGUAACAGUCGGAACGACUGCUAAUACGGUAUAUGACCACAGCACCGCAUGGUGCAGCGGUAAAAGAUUUUAUCGGACAGAGAUGGGCUCAUAUCCCAUUAGGUAGUUGGUGAGAUAACAGCCCACCAAGCCGACGAUGGGUAGCCGAGCUGAGAGGCUUGAUCGGCCACAUUGGGACUGAAACACGGCCCAGACUCCUACGGGAGGCAGCAGUGGGGAAUAUUGGGCAAUGGAGGCAACUCUGACCCAGCAAUGCCGCGUGAGUGAUGAAGGUGGUUUCAUUGUAAAGCUCUUUUCUCAGGAACGAACAAAUGACGGUACCUGAGGAAUAAGCCCGGCUAACUACGUGCCAGCAGCCGCCGU